GGCGGCUCUCAUGGCACCGGAUCAGACCGACACGGAGCCGCAGGGGAUUCACCGACCCGUCGGGUCAUAAGAGGACAGAGAGUCCAGAGAGGAGGACAGAGAGUCCAGAGAGGAGGACAGAGAGUCCAGAGAGGAGGACAGAGUUGAGAGGAGAGUCUCUGCAGCAGCGUCAGAUGCAAACUACUUAUUCAAUACUUCCUCUGGGGAGCAUGAAUGAGUCCAUUAGCUCAGUGAAAAUAGGGUCAAUCCUUCUCCUUUUUAAUUAAUUCAAGUUAUAAUAUAAACUUUGUAUUAAAUGAUGUUGGGAACAGUCUGUUUGGGGACCAGUGUGUUAGGAAUCAAUGGAGAUGCAGGAGGACAGCAGCGAUGAUCAUCAUGGUUCUGUGGAAGUGGAACGAAGAACACUGAAGCACGAGGACAUUUCUAUAUUUUGAAGAUAUUUCUUACAGACCUUUUUGUCCUUCCAGAGACAGAAUGUCUUUAUCCGACACUCUGAGAUGCAACGUGAGUCUCUGGGAGAAGAGCUUGUAUGUACGACUUCUUCAUGGUUGAUCCUCCAUUGACUGUUGGGUGUGUGUCUGCCGUCGAGGCAGCGCUUCAUCUGGAGCGUCUAAUGUGGCAGAUGACAGAGAGGGUUCUAUCGGUUCUAAAGAGGGUCCGGUAUCGGUUCUAAAGAGGGUCGGAUAUCGGUUCUAAAGAGGGUCCGAUAUCGGUUCUAAAGAGGGCCGGAUAUCGGUUCUAAAGAGGGUCCGGUAUCGGUUCUAAAGAGGGUCCGAUAUCGGUUCUAAAGAGGGUCGGAUAUCGGUUCUAAAGAGGGUCCGGUAUCGGUUCUAAAGAGGGUCCGAUAUCGGUUCUAAAGAGGGUC
ensembl:lncRNA